GGCUUUGUAACCAGAAGAAGGAGGUGGACGUUUCUUCUAAGUGGGAGUCCUAAGGGAUCUGAUUGCUGAUUUUUAAGAGAUCUCAAACAUUUUGUGGGCCAUUACAAAGCUCAUGUCCCCUAUGUCUGUGGGGCCUAAUGAUUCAAACAGCCAUGACCAGGACUGCCUGUGUGGCCCAGCCUGGCUGGCAUUCAAGUGAAUAACAUCAUCUCCAUCUCACUGCACAGAAGUAUGAACUGCGGUGUCAGCAGGUUUCCAUGACACCACCGGCGAUGUAGAGCACACAUCUCUCCCACACUCUGCUGGUUACCAGGCCCUGGCAGUACAGACCAGGCCUCCUGGGUUGCCUUCCUCCUUCCGGCUCCUUCCGGCUCCUUCCUCCUUCCGGCUCCUUCCUCUUCACUGCCACGCUCUGCUCCCCAGACCUCCGGCCCAGAAGGAGUGACCCAGAGCCUGAGGCGAGAGAAAUUUUGAGGCAGAGACUGAAGCUGAGGGUGAAGCCUAGGCCAGGCUAGAGAGAAAACACUGUGAGAAAGGACUGAGGCCCCCACAUGCUGGAAUCUUGUGGAAAGAGGUGAAGGCAAAGCUGGGGAUGAGAGAGAGAAGAGGGAGCAGGAGAGUAGUGAGGAAAUAAGGUGGGGAAACAGCUGGGAAGACAGACAUGCAUCUGGAAGAUUCCAGAAAAGGCCAUUUCAUCCAGCCCUGCUCCAGCAGUUUGUGUUUCAGCAGCCUCACGGGACACCUGGUCUUUCCUUUCUGACAUUGUUCUCCAUCUGUCCAGCACCUCUUGGAGAUCACAAGGGGCUCUCCACAUGAGACUUUUGAAACUAAGAAACAGAUUUGGGUGUUGCACGUGUUUGCUCUGGAGCCACACUGCUUGGGCUCAAAUCCCAGAUCCAUGGCUUCAUCACCUGUGAACCUUGGGCACAUUUCCCCACAUGCCUGUGCCUCAGUUUCCUCAGAUGUGAAAUGGAGUGGUGAUAGUUCCCACUUUUACUGAGUCAUUGUGACGUUUCCUGUGAAAGGCCUAACAUAUGAAAAGCACUCCAUAAAUGUUUAGCUAUUAUUAUUUCAAGGAGUUGUAAAAGCAGGAUCACAAAAUUGUGGAAUAUCAUUAAUGUUUACAUUUAACAAAUUAUACCCUUUAAUUCAAAAAAUGCAAAGGCAUAUAACUGUGAUAUUUACAGGUAAUAUAGAAGUUAGGGUUUUUUUCUAUAUAAUUAAUUUAUAGCACCCUAGAGGUAGGAUGGUUCAAUCAUGGGACGUGAGUUUAGAGCUGAAUGAGAAGUAUCUGUGUUAUGACCGUAUUUAUAACCUUAUUUGGAAGCAACGUUAAAAGCCUAAAUUUGAGGUCCUUUGUAAAUGUUUGUCUCCAAGCCAAAUGCUUUUCCUGGUCCCCUUCCUGACUCCUGCUCCCACCCCCAUUCAUAUCUUAAAAUGAUUAGGGCAGAAAAGGGUGGGGGGAGUUGGAAUAGACUCUACUUCCUGUCUCUCUGAUUUUACAAUUAGAUUAACAGGGCAUAAGGCCUUCACCUCUACAACUGGAUGAUUUAUAGUUUUAUAUAUAUUACACACACACACACACACACACACACAGAGAAAGAGAGAAAGAGAGAGAGCGAGAGAGACAGAGAGAGAUAUUCAGCCUAAUAUGUCAGUAUAGAUCCUUUUGCAAUUCAUGAGCAUGAUGAUGGGGUAUCACACUUAUGUGUGAGAUGUGCCUCCCUCAAACCUUCUUCCUACAGGUUGGCACUUUGCCCACCUGACAUGAAAAGAAAAAGUCAUUGUAGAAGGAGAGGUAAUGCAAGGCUAAAACUCACUUGUCCUGUAAACAACUGAAGACAAGCCAGUCUUUGAGAAGAUGAAAGCCUGCAGGUGCUAGCCAAAAGAGGAGUGGGGAGGACAGGUAAACUUUCCCUACCUUACAAUUUUGUUUUUACUCACAUAUGCCCAAUAGAAGCUGCGUGUAAUACAAGCAAAAAAUGAAUGACUUUCUACCAAA
rnacentral:lncRNA from 1 species